rnacentral:rRNA from 1 species
GACGAACGCUGGCGGCAUGCCUAAUACAUGCAAGUCGAGCGAACAGAUGAAGUGCUUGCACUUCUGACGUUAGCGGCGAACGGGUGAGUAACACGUAAGGAAUCUACCUAUAAGCGGGGGAUAACAUUCGGAAACGGGUGCUAAUACCGCAUAAUAUCUUCUUCCGCAUGGAAGAAGAUUGAAAGACGGCUCUGCUGUCACUUAUAGAUGACCUUGCGGUGCAUUAGUUAGUUGGUGGGGUAACGGCCUACCAAGACGAUGAUGCAUAGCCGACCGGAGAGGGUGAUCGGCCACAUGGGGACUGAGACACGGCCCAAACUCCUACGGGAGGCAGCAGUAGGGAAUCUUCCGCAAUGGGCGAAAGCCUGACGGAGCAAUGCCGCGUGAGUGAAGAAGGCCUUCGGGUCGUAAAACUCUGUUAUAAGAGAAGAACAAAUUGUAGAGUAACUGCUACAGUCUUGACGGUAUCUUAUCAGAAAGCCACGGCUAACUACGUGCCAGCAGCCGCCGUAA